UACGUAGUGGGCAAGCGUUGUCCGGAAUCAUUGGGCGUAAAGAGCGUGUAGGCGGCCCGGUAAGUCCGCUGUAAAAGUCAAAGGCUUAACCUUUGAAUGUCAGUGGAUACUGCCGGGCUAGAGUCCGGAAGAGGCGAGUGGAACUCCUGGUGUAGCGGUGGAAUGCGCAGAUAUCAGGAAGAACACCAACGGCGAAGGCAGCGCGCUAGGACGGUACUGACGCUGAGACGCGAAAGCGUGGGGAGCGAACAGG
rnacentral:rRNA from 1 species